rnacentral:rRNA from 1 species
GAUGAACGCUGGCGGCGUGCUUAAUACAUGCAAGUCGAACGGAGAUAGUAGCAAUAUUAUCUUAGUGGCGAACGGGUGAGUAACGCGUUGGUGACCUGCCCCGAAGAGAGGGAUAGCAGUUCGAAAGGACUGAUAAUACCUCAUGUGGUUGAGGGUUUUAGAGUCCCUUAACUAAACGGAUUUAUUCGCUUCGGGUGGGGCCUGCGUCCCAUCAGCUAGUUGGUAGGGUAAUGGCCUACCAAGGCGAUGACGGGUAGGGGACCUGAGAGGGUGGCCCCCCACAAUGGAACUGAAACACGGUCCAUACACCUACGGGUGGCAGCAGUAGGGAAUAUUGGUAAUGUGCGAAAGCGCGAACCAGCAACGCCGCGUGAGCGAUGAAGGCCUUCGGGUUGUAAAGCUCUUUUAGAGAGGAUGAGGAAGGACAGUACUUUCUGAAUAAGCCUCGGCUAACUACGUGCCAGCAGCCGCAGUAAUAC